GAUGAACGCUGGCGGCGUGCCUAAUACAUGCAAGUAGAACGCUGAAGGAGGAUCUUGCUCUUCUGGAUGAGUUGCGAACGGGUGAGUAACGCGUAGGUAACCUGCCUGGUAGCGGGGGAUAACUAUUGGAAACGAUAGCUAAUACCGCAUGACAACAGUUAUUGCAUGAUAACUGUUUAAAAGGGGCAACUGCUCCACUACCAGAUGGACCUGCGUUGUAUUAGCUAGUUGGUGAGGUAACGGCUCACCAAGGCGACGAUACAUAGCCGACCUGAGAGGGUGAUCGGCAACACUGGGACUGAGACACGGCCCAGACUCCUACGGGAGGCAGCAGUAGGGAAUCUUCGGCAAUGGACGGAAGUCUGACCGAGCAACGCCGCGUGAGUGAAGAAGGUUUUCGGAUCGUAAAGCUCUGUUGUAAGAGAAGAACGAGUGUGAGAGUGGAAAGUUCACACUGUGACGGUAUCUUACCAGAAAGGGACGGCUAACUACGUG
rnacentral:rRNA from 1 species